AUCAACUUUCGAUGGUAGGAUAGAGGCCUACCAUGGUGGUAACGGGUAACGGGGUGUUAGGGCACGACACCGGAGAGGGAGCUGAGAAACGGCUACCACAUCCAAGGAUGGCAGCAGGCGCGCAAAUUACCCAAUCCCGACACGGGGAGGUAGUGACAAUAAAUAACAAUACGGGGUUCUUUCGGAUUUCGUAAUUGGAAUGAGUUCAAUUUAAAUCUCUUAACGAGGAACAAUUGGAGGGCAAGUCUGGUGCCAGCAGCCGCGGUAAUUCCAGCUCCAAUAGCGUAUAUUAAAGUUGCUGCAGUUAAAAAGCUCGUAGUUGAAUUUCGGGACUAAUAUGUCGGUCGUGCCUCGGUACGUACUGGCUUAUUGGUUUCUCCUUUCUGAAGAACCAUGAUGUCAUUUAUUUGGUGUCGUGGGGAAUUAGGACUGUUACUUUGAAAAAAUUAGAGUGUUUAAAGCAGGCUCACGCUUGAAUACAUUAGCAUGGAAUAAUGAAAUAGGACGUUUGAUUCUAUUUUGUUGGUUUCUAGGAUCGACGUAAUGAUUAAUAGGGAUAGUUGGGGGCAUUAGUAUUCAAUUGUCAGAGGUGAAAUUCUUGGAUUUAUUGAAGACUAACUACUGCGAAAGCAUUUGCCAAGGAUGUUUUCAUUAAUCAAGAACGAAAGUUAGGGGAUCGAAGACGAUCAGAUACCGUCGUAGUCUUAACCAUAAACUAUGCCGACUAGGGAUCGGAUGAUGUUAAUUUUUUAAUGACUCAUUCGGCGCCUUACGGGAAACCAAAGUGUUUGGGUUC
rnacentral:rRNA from 1 species